rnacentral:rRNA from 1 species
CCUGGCUCAGGAUGAACGCUAGCGGCAGGCCUAAUACAUGCAAGGCGAAGGGGCAGCAAUGUCACUGUCGUACGGGUGCGUAACGCGUAUGCAACCUACCUAUCACAGGGGAAUAGCCUUUGGAAACAGGGAUUAAUACCGCAUAAAGCAGGGACACCGCAUGGUGAUAUUGCUAAAGAUUUAUCGGUGAUAGAUGGGCAUGCGUCUGAUUAGUUAGAUGGUGGGGUAACGGCUUACCAUGGCUACGAUAGGUAGGGGUCCUGAGAGGGAGAUCCCCCACACUGGUACUGAGACACGGACCAGACUCCUACGGGAGGCAGCAGUGAGGAAUAUUGGACAAUGGGCGCAAGCCUGAUCCAGCCAUGCCGCGUGCGGGAAGACGCAUCUAUGGUGUGUAAACUGCUUUUGUACGGGAAGAAACACUCCUACGUGUAGGAGCUUGACGGUACCGUAAGAAUAAGGAUCGGCUAACUCCGUG